rnacentral:rRNA from 1 species
GUGGAUUAGAUACCCUAGUAGUCCACGCUGUAAACGAUGAAUACUAGGUGUUGGGGGCUAAGCCCUCAGUGCCGCAGUUAACACAUUAAGUAUUCCGCCUGGGGAGUACGAUCGCAAGAUUAAAACUCAAAGGAAUUGACGGGGGCCCGCACAAGCAGCGGAGCAUGUGGUUUAAUUCGAAGCAACGCGAAGAACCUUACCAAGGCUUGACAUCCUAGGAAUCCUAAAGAGAUUUGGGAGUGCCCUUCGGGGAACCUAGAGACAGGUGGUGCACGGUCGUCGCCAGCU